GCGCGGCGCCCCCGGAGGCUCUCAAACACUGCGUUAAUUACGUCGGAGUCUCAAGUAAAUUGAACAAAACUUUCAACAACGGAUCUCUUGGUUCUGGCAUCGAUGAAGAACGCAGCGAAAUGCGAUAAGUAAUGUGAAUUGCAGAAUUCAGUGAAUCAUCGAAUCUUUGAACGCACAUUGCGCCCCCUGGUAUUCCGGGGGGCAUGCCUGUUCGAGCGUCAUUUCACCACUCAAGCCUGGCUUGGUAUUGGGCGCCGCGUGUACCGCGCGCCUUAAAGUCUCCGGCUGAGCUGUCCGUCUCCUAGCGUUGUGAUACAUAUUCGCUACGGGUGCCGGGCGGCCGCGGCCGUUAAACUUCUUUCAAGGUUGACCUCGGAUCAGGUAGGGAUACCCGCUGAACUUA
rnacentral:rRNA from 1 species